rnacentral:rRNA from 1 species
GACGAACGCUGGCGGCGUGCUUAACACAUGCAAGUCGAGCGGUAAGGCCCUUUCGGGGGUACGACGAGCGGCGAACGGGUGAGUAACACGUGGGUGACCUGCCCUCAGCUCUGGGAUAAGCCUGGGAAACCGGGUCUAAUACUGGAUAUGACUCCAUGACGCAUGUUGUGGGGUGGAAAGCCUUGUGCGGCUGAGGAUGGGCCCGCGGCCUAUCAGCUUGUUGGUGGGGNGAUGGCCUACCAAGGCGACGACGGGUAGCCGGCCUGAGAGGGCGGACCGGCCACACUGGGACUGAGACACGGCCCAGACUCCUACGGGAGGGCAGCAGUGGGGAAUCUUGCGCAAUGGGCGAAAGCCUGACGCAGCGACGCCGCGUGAGGGA